rnacentral:rRNA from 1 species
GAUGAACGCUGGCGGCGUGCCUAAUACAUGCAAGUCGAGCGAACAGAUGAGGAGCUUGCUCCUCUGACGUUAGCGGCGGACGGGUGAGUAACACGUGGAUAACCUACCUAUAAGACUGGGAUAACUUCGGGAAACCGGAGCUAAUACCGGAUAAUAUAUUGAACCGCAUGGUUCAAUAGUGAAAGACGGUUUUGCUGUCACUUAUAGAUGGAUCCGCGCCGCAUUAGCUAGUUGGUAAGGUAACGGCUUACCAAGGCAACGAUGCGUAGCCGACCUGAGAGGGUGAUCGGCCACACUGGAACUGAGACACGGUCCAGACUCCUACGGGAGGCAGCAGUAGGGAAUCUUCCGCAAUGGGCGGAAGCCUGACGGAGCAACGCCGCGUGAGUGAUGAAGGUCUUCGGAUCGUAAAACUCUGUUAUUAGGGAAGAACAAAUGUGUAAGUAACUAUGCACGUCUUGACGGUACCUAAUCAGAAAGCCACGGCUAACUACGUG